GUUGGGUGAUUAUGCGACGUCUCCGGGACGUGGAACGGAUUUUCCCCGCGAGCACGAGCACGUACUUCGCCUGAAACAAGCGGCCAGGAAGCUGGCUGCGGACGCAGGAUUCGGCGCGCGCGCGGCUCAUGUUGGCGCCGGCGCGAAAACCGCCGUCGGAAGUGACGACAGCAAACAGGAUGUAAACAAAUAUGGCGGCGCCCAGUGCAUCCAGCUACCAAUGAAAACGCCUAAAUACUCCGGUAAGGCCGACUGGGAAGCUUUCUAUGCACAAUUCGAACUGUUAGCUCGGGCCGCGGGAUGGUCAGAAGACACUAAAGCACUCCAGCUGGCUCUGUGCCUCACGGACGAAGCCUCUCAGUGUCUGUUGCUGCUUAGUCCAGAAGAACGGUGUGACUUCAAGGCUUUGGUUGGAGCACUGCAGAGACGUUUUGGACAAUUUAGUCAGCCUGCUAUUCUGCGCUCAGAACUGGCAAACAGACAGAGGCGAACGGAUGAGCCGCUGCGGGUUUUGGCCUCUGACAUUGAAGCUCUAACCAGAAGGGCCUAUCCCCACAUGCCCGCUGCAGUCCAAAGUGAGCUGGCGAGGGACCAGUUCAUUCGAGCCCUGUCCCCAAGAGAACUGCGGGUGCAGACGCAACUGGCCCACCCCUGCACCCUUCAAGAAGCUUUGGAGACGGCUUUAGAAAGAGAGCUGGUUGGAGCUGCCACUGAGAACACUGACAUUGGCUCCAACCCCAUCGUGUGGGUUGUGGAAAAAGCAGCUCCCGAUCCAGAGAGGCCAGGAUGGGUCCAAGAGCUCUCAGAACUGAUCCGAGCUGUGGCUGUGGAGCCCCCACAGAAGAGCAGCCUCCUUCGCCGCAACACCCCUGUCUGUUGGGUGUGUGGCCAGGCUGGACACAUCAGUGUGCGGUGCCCCAAGCGUGCUGACCGUCAGGGAAACGGCCUGGGGUCUGUUUAGGUGGGACGACACAGACCCGUUUUCCCACGUCCCACCCUGAUGAUCUGCUGGCAGAGGGAGCCCUACAUGACAGCCG
rnacentral:lncRNA from 1 species